UGUCCCCCUCUCACUUUGUCAAUUGGAUUUAUGUCUUUAUUGAUCAUUUAAGUAGGGCAAAGGAAGUGUCCUUUUAGAACUCAAGCAAACUGGGUGUCUUGUAUUCUGUUACAGGAAACAGCA